UACGUAGGGUGCAGGCGUUAAUCGGAAUUACUGGGCGUAAAGCGUGCGCAGGCGGUCUUUUUAAGUCAGAUGUGAAAUCCCCGGGCUUAACCUGGGAACUGCGUUUGAAACUGGAAGGCUUGAGUGUGGCAGAGGGGGGUGGAAUUCCACGUGUAGCAGGUGAAAUGCGUAGAGAUGUGGAGGAACACCGAUGGCGAAGGCAGCCCCCUGGGCUAACACUGACGCUCAUGCACGAAAGCGUGGGGAGCAAACAGG
rnacentral:rRNA from 1 species